ACAACGGCAGAUUUGGAACAACAAUUUACAAUGAAUCAGAACUAAUUAAAUCAUCGAAGAGAAGUGCUAAAAUUUCAAAAUACUCGAGCGUUUGACGUAAUAACCGGUGUUUUCUUAUGAUGUGGUCUACCGCAGCCCACAGAUGAAGUUAAAUACGUGUCCGUGUAGUGUAUUUGCUUGCGGCGCCUGUCAAUUCAAUUUAGCCGCAAUUGUUUGAUAUGUGUAAACUAUAAUGUUACAAGAAUACAUGUGAAUACGCAACCCUGAUACCAGUAAUCUCACCACAAGCCUUCACACACAAAUGUCGCCGUACAAACCACCUGGAACAAAGCCACCGAAUCACUACGAUUGGGUUCAAGUAGUAAAAAUCAGCAAUCAAUUCGUAAUCUUUUACAAUACUAUUGGUAUAGCCCGUCGUCUAUUACAUUGUUUACGUACAAUACGAACACUGUGGAUGAUCGAGGGAUAUUUAAAUAUUUGUCGAUGUAGAUCACGCUAUACCUACUACGAUCAGACCACGAGUUGUGUCUAGAUACCCCGAACCUUAGUCUACUGCUGUCGCGAUCAGCUUUGUUGUUAUUACUAAUAGCCUAUUGACGUCACGAAAUCCCGAGUAUGUAAAAAUACCUGUACGUAUUCUUGGGGUGUGGGAGUUCCGUUUGAUUGACAGCUGGAAAAUACUAGUCAUUGAUAAGUAGGGUUAUGGUUUUAACGUUACCCUGCUACUUCAAAAACACACCAAAACUUCCGAGUCCUAUUACACGUGUGUAUUUAAAUACAGGAUCGUAGCAUCAUGUUGGUUAUUUUACGUUUGCUUUCUUAACAGACAGGUCGUACCUUACUGAUUUUAUUUAACUAUUUACGACUGGUGUAUUGCUCUUUGUUUGAAUGGUCCAACAACUGCAAGCCCUUACUUAGAUCCCUUGGGCAAACGUCACGUUUCAGUCGGUACUGAGAGUCCUUGGGACCGACCUUUGUAUUCAGUAUGCGGGGUAAACUGCUGCUAGCUGGUGGCAAACCCACUGCCUGGACUCACAAUACUAGUUAUGUUGGUGUAUCAAGAAUCCACAGUGAAACCAGUCCUCCAGCCUUAGGACGUCGAAGGAAAGAAGAUCGCGAAUUUAAGGAAAUAUUAGGUGCCAUAGAAAACAUGCAUCGUAAAGAUAUGCAAUCGUUUACCACCAACCGAAAAUAUCUGGAGAAGUCCAUGCUCGCAUACAGUGAGCGGAUGAGGGAACUUAACAAAGGGAGACGAUCCCUUCCUGUUAUCAUCACACCAGCUUCCGGUGAGAAACCAGUCCUUCCAAAGAAAUUUUCCAAUACCAUUCGACCGGAUGUUGCAUCUCCUGCAUCAGACUUACUCGGAAGCUCUCGGGAAUCUUUUAUGUCUUCGAAUGGUCAUCUGCAUUCUCCA